UACGAAGGGGGCUAGCGUUGCUCGGAAUUACUGGGCGUAAAGGGCGCGUAGGCGGUUCUGUUAGUCAGGCGUGAAAUUCCUGGGCUUAACCUGGGGACUGCGCUUGAUACUGCGGGACUAGAGGGUGGAAGAGGGUCGUGGAAUUCCCAGUGUAGAGGUGAAAUUCGUAGAUAUUGGGAAGAACACCGGUGGCGAAGGCGGCGACCUGGUCCAUUACUGACGCUGAGGCGCGACAGCGUGGGGAGCAAACAGG
rnacentral:rRNA from 1 species